rnacentral:rRNA from 1 species
UACGUAGGGGACGAGCGUUGUCCGGAAUUACUGGGCGUAAAGGGUGCGUAGGUGGUUUCUUAAGUCAGAGGUGAAAGGCUACGGCUCAACCGUAGUAAGCCUUUGAAACUGGGAAACUUGAGUGCAGGAGAGGAGAGUGGAAUUCCUAGUGUAGCGGUGAAAUGCGUAGAUAUUAGGAGGAACACCAGUUGCGAAGGCGGCUCUCUGGACUGUAACUGACACUGAGGCACGAAAGCGUGGGGAGCAAAACAGGAUUAGAUACCCUGGUAGUCCCUGAG